rnacentral:misc_RNA from 1 species
CCUUAAUUGUUUGAUUCUGUUUCAUUCUCUUCUGCCUUUGUAACACCAACUUCAGCUGGCCGGAUAACACGAUCAUAGAGAGAGUAUCCUGCCUGCACACAAGCAAGCAAAUCACUAUUUAGUCAUGAAUCCAUACCUAAAUAAAAGCUGGUUCAAGACCACUUUAAAUCCAGUAACUAUCAAGGCAAUAUUUUGCAAACGUAGAAAAAAUGCAUUAUAAACAUUAACAAUGUACAAUAAGACGAUAUAUAAUGUGCUUCCUAAAAAAAUGGAGAAAAAAAAUCACAUGCAUUCUAAAGAUAGAGAUCAUUCCAACUGUUAUAGCAGAAACAAUCAUUUUGUAUGAAACAGUUUCAAGCAGUGGGGAAACAUAACAUUAAGAAUUCUUCCUCUGCCCUAGCCUCAACAGUCUUAAAAAUUUAUUUUGAAGACAAGAAUAACCAUGAUUUCUUAAUUGGUAUUAAUAAUGUAGUGAUGGUCACAUGAAUAUCUAUAUGAUAAAAAUUGAGUGUUACUCAAAUCAUA